GACGAACGCUGGCGGCGUGCCUAAUACAUGCAAGUCGAGCGGACCCUUCGGGGUUAGCGGCGGACGGGUGAGUAACACGUGGGUAAUCUGCCCAACUGACUGGAAUAACGCCUGGAAACGGGUGCUAAUGCCGGAUAGGCAACUGGUAGGCAUCUACCGGUUGGGAAAGGUGCAACUGCACCGCAGAUGGAGGAGCCCGCGGCGCAUUAGCUAGUUGGUGGGGUAACGGCUCACCAAGGCAACGAUGCGUAGCCGACCUGAGAGGGUGACCGGCCACACUGGGACUGAGACACGGCCCAGACUCCUACGGGAGGCAGCAGUAGGGAAUCUUCCACAAUGGGCGCAAGCCUGAUGGAGCAACGCCGCGUGAGUGAAGACGGCCUUCGGGUUGUAAAGCUCAGUCACUCGGGAAGAGCGGACGAGGGAGUGGAAAGCCCUCGUCGAGACGGUACCGAGAGAGGAAGCCCCGGCUAACUACGUG
rnacentral:rRNA from 1 species